AUGCAGCUGACGGUGAAGGCGCUGCAGGGCCGCGAGUGCAGCCUGCAGGUGCCAGAGGACGAGCUGGUGUCCACGCUGAAGCAGCUGGUCUCCGAGAAGCUGAACGUCCCAGUGCGCCAGCAGCGGCUGCUGUUCAAGGGCAAGGCCCUGGCAGGUACCCAGGGAGAGGAGACGCCCGGGGAGCCCCGCAGGAAGCGGGACCGGGGUGCGCGGGCCGAGGCCAGCAGCCGUGUGUCGGGUCGGGGUGCGGGCGCCAAGCGCCACAUGACCCCAAGGGAGGCGGCCGCAUGCCUCACAGCCGGAUGCCGCAGCGCUCCGCUCCCGCCGCCCGAGGCGGCCU
rnacentral:ncRNA from 2 species